rnacentral:lncRNA from 1 species
CAGCUGCUGCGAGGAUUAGCACGGGGGCUGGUAAUACACAGAGUUCAGUAAAUGCAGCUAUAAUUAUCGUAAUCACGCGGGAUUUGCGAAGCCAUUACAAGUGCACUCUGGCCAUCCGUCAGUCUUGUUCCACACACAUUUCCUGAGGACAGGGAGAGCAAACCCAGCGUGCUCCAGGGGACUGGGAAGGAGCCGGAGCUCCAAGUGCCAAGCGGAUGGAACUCCCAGACAGAAGCAAGCUGCGGAACGGGAGGCCCCAGACACGAUAGUAUUUAUGCGGCAUUUAGCCACGUGCAGCUUCGGUGUUUGAGCAGCUAGCAUGCGCUGUGGGGAGAAGCGCCCCCAAAGCUGCGCGGUGACGCGGAAAACGGACCCAACAACAGCCGGCACCCAGGCGUCUUUGGACACAUCGGGGUAAAGAGAGUCGGCGGGGUGUGCGGAAUUCCCGCGGGUGGGUCCCUGCCGGCGCCUGGACGCCGCCCCGACGUCCACGGAGGCCGCACCCG